CCUAAUUAUCAUACGCGGAUCUAACCAAGUAGCCUUAGAAUCCAAAUUCCCUUGUUCUUCUUCUUCAACCCCCCCAAACCCUAACCCUAAAAACUGGAAAUCUCGUCUGAUUUCCAAUUUAGUGUUUAACUGAAGUCGCUUCGUUUCGAAUUUCAGCUAAUGGCGAGCGGCUCCAAUGAACCCACGCGUCGCAAGCACCGCCGCUCUCCUUCUGACGACGAGAACAACGACGCCGAAGCACCUUCGAAACGGCGGAAGCACCGCCACCAUAAACAUCACCGGCAUCAUCGCCACCACCAUCACCACCGCAGCAAGAAGGAGGACAGAGUUGAGGACGCAACAGCUGAAGCUGAAAUCGAGAUGGAAGAGAAUCUAGAAGAGGAACGGAAGAGUAAUGAGAAUGCGGUGGUUGAUGCUGCAACUGGUGGCACAACUAGUGCGGCUGUUAUUUCUGGUUCAGUUUUGGGGAUUGAUUAUGAUAUGGAAGAAGGAGAGAUUGUUGAUGAGGGUGAGGGUGGUGGUGGUGGUUCUCGUAUCGAUGGAGAUGAGGUGAAAAAGGAGAAAGAGCGUGGUUCUGAUGUGGAGUCUGGAGAGAUUGGGGCUGUUCGCGGCGGCCAUUCUGACAAUUCUCACAUGAAGGUGGAUGUAUAUCAAGAGGGGAAGAAUCGUACCUGUUGUUUGCCUUCUGAAGAAGGUAUGAAUGAAGAGGAUGGAAAGAUGGGGGCAUCGAGUGAUUUUAGGAUUGAUGGGGAAGAUGAUGGAUGUUUUGCGAGGAAGAAAUAUAAUGAUUUGGGUCAGAAAAGAACUUCCAGAACUGAACAUAUGUCUAAUGGUGAGUUUGUGCAUGAAUACCGUAAGGAUGAGUUAACUGUUGAAGAACAUAGUUGGAGAAAUGACUACUCUAAUGAAGAAAGUAUUUUGAGGGAGACUAAUGAAUUGUUAGCUGAAGGUGGGCAAAAAAGGGAUUUCUCAAGGUCACCGUCACGGGACAGACACCGUGAAAGGGUUCGAAGUGGGAGCUGUCCAAAGUCACGUGAUCAGUCUCGAGGAAGGUCUAGGUCGCAAAGCAUUUUCCGAGAGGGUUCUUUACUCAAUACACCAAAAACAUAUAACGAUUAUUCACGAAGAAAGAAUAGGAGUGAUUCAGAUGAGGAGCAUGAAUCCAGCAGGGAUUACCAACCUGCCAGCAGAGAAUCAUUUAGGGAUGAAGAAAGGAGUUACAGCAGACACAGUAGUCGGUCAACAAGGCAUCAUAGUCGAGAAAUGCGGGACAGGGAUAGAGAGGGCAGCCGGGAUGUGGACAGAGACAGGACAAGAGACAGAGAGCGAGAGAGGACAAGGGAGAAGGAGCGGGAGAGGGAAAGGGCUAGGGAGCGGGAGAAAGAGAGGGAGAGGGAAAAGGAGAGAGAGAGGCACAGGGACUGGGAGAGGGAGAAGGAGAGGGAAAGGAGGAGGGAGCGGGAUAGAGGGAGCAGCCGAGAUAGAAAUAGGGACAGAAAUAGGGAUAGAGAUAGUCAAAGGUCCUUUAGGAACUCUAAACACAAUCACGCUGAUGAUGGCUAUGGUGAGCAAGAUAGGAUUGAUGAUUACAGGCAUAGGAGGCACGAUGAAGCCGGUCACAAGGAUAGGAUAAGUGUAAGUGAUACUGAAAAAAUUGAUGGUUCUAAGAAGCAUAUGGCUGGAAGGGAAAAUGAGAAGUCUGGAAGAGAUGAAAAUGAACAAGAAGACUACCAAGAAAAAAUUGUGUUGCGACUAGCAGAACAGGAAGAAGAUGACCUUGAAAGAAUUAAAGAGGAAAGUAGGAGGCGAAGCGAAGCUAUACUAGAAAAAUAUAGAAGUCAGAAAUCACAUCAGCACUCCGAAGCUAAAAUAGAAAAUACAGUAAAAGAGCAAGGAGAACAGCCAUUAGUGAUGGUACCAUCUGUUAGUGUUGCUCUCGAAUCUAAUUAUCUUCGAAAUGAGGGCCAAGAUGACUAUGUUGCUGACCCAUCCUUUUCUGUUGGAAAAUCCCCUCCACCAAAUGGGGUUUCUACUAUUGAGAAGCCUUCUGAUACUGGUGGACUCGGAGCCGGUACUCCAAAGAGUGAAAGACCUAAUGAUAUGUUCUCUGAUGAUAUAUUUGGAGAGUCUCCUGCUGGUGUUCGUAAAACGGGUAAGGGUGAUGGUUUAGCAAUUGAAAGGAGUGGCCUACAUGACAAUUGGGAUGAUGCAGAAGGGUACUAUAGCUAUCGGUUUGGAGAAUUACUUGAUGGUCGAUAUGAAAUCAUUGCUGCACAUGGCAAAGGUGUCUUCUCUACAGUAGUUCGUGCUAGGGAUCUUAAGGCCAAAUCUGGUGAUCCUGAAGAAGUAGCGAUAAAAAUCAUUCGCAAUAAUGAGACCAUGUUGAAGGCUGGCAUGGAUGAACUGGUUAUAUUAAAAAAGUUGGCUGGUGCUGACCCUGAGAACAAACGCCAUUGUGUUCGUUUUGUUUCCAGCUUUAAGUAUCGGAAUCAUCUCUGUUUAGUUUUUGAAUCUCUUCAUAUGAAUCUUCGUGAGGUUUUGAAGAAGUUUGGUCGUAAUAUUGGGCUUAAAUUAACUGCUGUAAGGGCAUAUGCAAAGCAGCUCUUCAUUGCACUGAAACAUCUAAAGAAUUGUGGUGUGCUUCAUUGUGAUAUUAAGCCUGAUAAUAUGCUGGUGAAUGAAGCAAAGAAUGUAUUGAAGCUUUGUGACUUUGGCAAUGCCAUGUUUGCUGGUAAAAAUGAAAUUACUCCAUAUCUUGUGAGUCGAUUUUAUCGUGCCCCAGAAAUAAUUCUGGGUCUGCCAUAUGAUCAUCCCAUGGAUAUGUGGUCAGUUGGUUGCUGUUUAUUUGAGAUUUACACUGGAAAAGUUCUUUUUCCUGGUUCUACAAAUAAUGACAUGCUUCGCCUUCAUAUGGAGCUUAAGGGCGCAUUUCCAAAGAAGAUGGUUCGUAAGGGUGGAUUUAAGGACAAGCACUUUGAUCAGGGGCUGAAUUUUCUUGCCACUGAGGAGGACCCUGUCACAAAGAAGGCUGUAAAGAGGCUGAUUCUUAAUGUUAAGCCAAAAGAUUUUGGAACUUUGAUUGUGGGUUCUCCUGGUGAGGAUCCAAAGAUGUUAGCCAACUUUAAAGAUCUUCUUGAUAAGAUAUUCAUGUUGGAUCCUGAUAAAAGAAUCACUGUAUCACAAGCAUUGAGCCAUCCAUUCAUCACUGGCAAGUGAAAUAUUGAUGCUGAUUUGUGACUACCGAAAUGCUGUUGGGCUUGAUAUUUGAAUAUCAUAUGACUGCAUUUAUAUAUUGUUCUCUAAUCAUUGGGCAUUAAUGUCUGUCUUCUUUGUGCUGGCUAUAAGAGCUUUAGAAACGGUGCUUGGCAUGUUGAACGCAAUUGUGGUGAUGUUUGAUUGGAAGACAGCUCGUACUUGGCGCUUCUGUCAGUGGAGUGUUUUCUGUUUCUAUUGGUACCAUCUCUGCUAUGAGGCAACCGUUCAGUGCUUUAGAUGCUUAAAAGUCAACCUGGAGAAGGAAUAUAUGCUUUGGAGGUUAUUGGAUGCUGUUCCAGGUGGAUUUUUUUAGGUUAUGGCAUUGUGAUUGCUGAUAUCCUGUAAGUAUAUUCUUAUUUUUCAUCUCCUUUGUCAUUAGUUGGUUUCUGAUGUCAAGCUAUUUCUGUUUCCAACUAUGUUUUUAACUCCUCCAACCUGUACAUGUGUGAAUUUUUGUAGAUUUAUGCUGUUUAGCAAGCUAUUUCUGAUAGUAAGUUCUUCUUAAUCUAUAUUUUGAUACUUUCCUUUGCCUUGGUCUCUGGCACCUGAGCAGAGUGGGAAUUUUUUCUUUGAAUCUGCUUUUUAUAGAUGGGUUGUUUUUAACUCUUCAUGUUUAUGGGGUAUUAUAGUGGGAUAAAUGUAGACCUGGAGCUGUUAUUAGGCUGAAAGUACAUCCUUGAGGGGAAAGAAUUAGGUCAUGGGAAUUUUGACGUCUAAUUGUUAUAAAUCCUUUUCAAAUCAAUUAUAUUAAGGCAUAAUGUGCAAGUUUUUUCAAGCGAGCGAUUUGUAAUGCUUAUGACUUGCAAGAAAUUUCUAAUAACCUUGUAUCAAGCAUAUUAGAGAGACAUGCGUGAAAUCUUCUUCAGCAAGCAUACAAGUCUGACUUGAUGUGAAUGCAGCAUAGGAUAUACAUUAUCCAAGAUAUGAUAGUCAGCAAAAAAUUAGGUAGAUCAGAGGGAGUAAUGUGGGUUGGUAGGAGUAACAGAGUAGCUUUGUAAGGAAUGGAAAUAGGCUUGGAUGAAAAAAAGAAGCCAAUAAGGGUGUAUAUUGGGCACUUUACAUGUGCCUAUUAAGCCUGAUUACCUGGGCAGUUUUUUGUACUAGGCGAUCGAAGCCUGAUUACAUGUGCAAACCAAUGAGAUGAUCAUUUACUAACAGGUGUUAUCAUAUUUUUCAAAAAAAUAACUGCGUCAAAGAACAAAUCACAGAGUCUAUGAACUGAACUGGUUUUUAGAUAAUCUUUUAGCAACAAAAUAUUUUUUCCAGUCACUUGGCUUUCAGUGCAUAAGCUUGCAGCCUCAGAUUUAGCAUACAUUUGUUCCAUAACAGGCAUUUUGAUGACCUUAGUGGAGUUUGAGCUUUUAAGAUAAGAGCAGUAGGGUAGUGGAACUACUAAAACAUUUUGUAGUGGGAUUCUUGGCAUCCACUUCCAAGUAUACUUGUAAUUUUUUUGGUUGAGCUUCCUUUCUCCUGAGUACUAGAUAACCCACGGGUAUCAGCAUACAUGACGGAUCUUGAUAUGGCAUGGAAAUCUUAAAUUUGACAAAUGUGUACUUGGUAAGUUCAAUUACUUGUGGGUCUGGUGAAUUUCAGAGCGGCAGACAUACUGAGGGUUGAGUCCUCCUUAUUAUAUCUAAUUGUUUUUAGCUUGAUAGUUUUCCGGGGAUGAGGUUACAUGGGAUAAUAUCAUCAACCCUUUUAUUCUGGAAAAUGAGGUUGAGAACUGAAAAAGUGAAUACCCAUGUAUUUGUUGUAGACGAGGUAGGACAGUGGCUACUCUGGUGUUUCUUGCCUUUGAGUAAUACUUAAUAUGGUCAGUGAAAUGCAACAUUCCUUUAGUUCAAUUAGCCUUUUUUUUAAAUGAAGAAGAGAAUGACAGGAGUUGUCAGGUUGUAAUGGAUUUUAGGAACUGAUAUUAGAUUUCAACUGAUAUGAAAUAGAUCACAACUUGUAUGAAUUUGUCAAGGAUGGAGUUUAGGAGUAUUGGUUGCUUCUUUUCUACAUCUGGAUAUUGAUAACUCAGAGAGGAAGCUUUUUGCAAGGAAACACAAGUUAAGCACAGACGACAUGGACAGAAUAAACAGAACAUACCAGCUGGGUCUCUUUUCAGUUUGCUGGCUGUUUGCUCUUGAGAUUAUUUUUGGCGGCUUACGAUAGUUUUUGAUUGCAGUAAGAAAUAAAGGAAGUCUCAGCUGAGUUCAUCUGGUGUGAAUAAAAAAUGUACAAUUUUGUCUUUCUGGCACUUCAUCCCUCUGACCUUCAACUUUUAGGUGCAGAAAUUUGUAAGAAUGCAUGAAUUGCUAUGGCAAGUAAUGUGAUAUUCUUUUGCCUUUGCUGGUGAGAGAUUGGUAUGGUCGGGGAAUUCUUUUGUGCAUUGCCUAGUAACGUGAAGGGUUGUUUUAUAGAAAAAUUGUAGAUGUUAUGUUGGUGUAUUUAGAGUUUUAAAAUUGGUACAUUACGAAAAAGUAAGUACAUAUAGUUUUAAAGUGUUUUUGUCAGCAGUACAUGUAGUUUAUAGUGUUUUUGUGAGCAUGUUGGCAACUCAGCAUCAACGAGAGUGAUCAAGACAUUGCAUUUAUUCAAUCUAAUUAAUACCUGUUUAAGCUAGGUUUUGAUCGAGCAUCUUCUCCAUGCAAGAUUUAGGUUUUGAGUAUCAUAUUCUGCAAGAGUUUGUCCUUGUCAAUUUGCCAGGGUAUCAUCGUCCCCUGGUGAGUGUGUGUCAUUGAGAAGCGAGGAAAGGUAAAUGUUCACUUGCAUAUCAUUAACUAACUAGUAAAAUGGUAUUUGUAACUUACUAACUGGUGGUUACAAUAAUUUUUACGCACAUUUACCAGAGUUAAAAGGUUUUCAUCACAUGCCGCUUCUAUUUCAGCUAUAAUCUGAACACUAUUUAGAGCUGCUCCUACUCCUCCCUGCUGUGGUUGGUGUUGGAUUGGGUUUUGUUAAUAUGGUCUUGCUUUCUUAUACUUCUAUGGAUGCCAUUUACUGGCUAAGUGUUCUGGAUGCAUACAAUUUUCUAGCGCCCCCCCCCCCCCCGGGCGGGUGUCAGGUGUCAUAUGAACCUGUUGUCUAAUUAGAAUGGGUCGGUUAUGCACUGUUGAUAUGUCUUUCUGAAGUCUUUCGUCCUCACUAUUUGUCUGGUUCCCUUUGUUUUGUCUGAGGAAGAUGUUUGAGGGGCUUCAUGCAAAGAUUUUAGCAAUAUAUGUGUGGUUGGUGUGGAUUGAACUUGUCAUCACAUGGAGAGGCUUGAAUUGUUGAUACUAACGGGGCUGAACUAGUUUACUGAUUUUUGGUCAGUCUUCAAAUUUUGGGGUUGUCGUUGCCACUUUGUGUGCUGAAUUAGAAGUGGUUCCAUUUGUCCCGUGAAAUUUGAUGAUAUUUGUAAUAAUGCCGUCUUUUAUGUUGUGCACGCGUAAAAUCCACUGUUUCGGCAGGCUGCUGUUGUUCAGUUGCAAAAGAAAAAAAAAAAAAAUUGCAUGAAUGAAUUUGGUUAAGUGAUGCAAAAUCUCAUCGAGAAUAAUGGGCUCUCUGCACCAAAUAUAAAAUGCCAAUAUCAGUGCGCCGAGCAGGUUGAUUAACUGAGGUUUGUGGCCAGCGCAACUUAAAGGGGCAAUUGAAGUCUAAUAUUCUGCUCGGUAGCAACAGGAGCCUCUCUAUAAAAGCUGAAUGUGAGCUGCUGUUUUCAUGUGGUUUAUUGGAAUGCCAACGUAAAGGUGGCGUCAAACGUGUUUGUUUCAUGCUCUGUGUUAGAGAUGUCUUAUCCACUGGAACUUGUAACGCCUGAGAGGACCUAAUGUUUUGAGUCGGGUUGGUACCCAAUUGCAAAUUGAAAAUUUGAUAUUUUAUCUGAUGUUCUGGUCAUGAAUAGCCGGAUUUCGGGCCGUUGAGCCUUGGAGCUGAAUGAUAUAGAGAAUUGGAACAUGUGUCCGUUUUAAUUCUCAAUCAUAAUAGACUCCAUAGUUGGCUUUACUUUCCUCGUCACUCUUGGCAAUAAGAUAUGGACAUGACUGAUUCAAUUGCCGGCGAGGCUCCUUCCAA